rfam:Triticum aestivum genome assembly, contig: Triticum_aestivum_CS42_TGACv1_scaffold_604758_7DL
UUUUUUUGAUUUGUUUAAGAGGCUGAAAAUCUUGGGAUAGUGUGUGUUGUCAUCAGCUUCAUCUCUUUGUUUCUACUAGAUGGCAGUUAAAUAACGACACCAGAUUA